GAUGGGCCCUGAAACAGUCCCCUGACAUAGUCAGCAGAGUGGGGCACUCUGUCAAACUGAGCUGUUCCCAAAUGGAGACAUCACAUAACCAAAUGUACUGGUACAAACAGCCUGUGGAGAUGCAUUCCAAGCUUGAAUUGGUAGUUUUUGCAAUCAAAGGUGUAAAUGUACAGAUUGAGAAGGAUUUCAGUGAUGGCCGCUUCAAGAAUAGUGGGAUACAAACCGAAGGUCUCUCUCUAUCAAUAGAACGUGCUUCCCUCAAUGACUCUGGCAUAUAUUACUGUGCUGAAA